CUAUUAAUGCUACAACAGGUCCAGGGGAUACUAGUAACACAUCUGAACACAAACUGAUAGGUCUGUGGAUCUUCCUUGGUGUCUUUGGUGUCCUUGGUAUCCCUGGUGUAGUAUUCAUGUGCUGUUACUGGAGGGAAAAAAUCUGCUGCUUAAACAGGACUGGUGACAAUGCUGACAACAUGAACGGUGAAGUGCAAAUCCCACUGGAGGGCACCGUACCAGUAAUCAAUGGAGAAGAUCAGCCACUUAACCACACUUCUCAAGUGUAAAAACGACAUCAAACUCGGACAACAUCCAGGCAUGUUCCUGUUUGUGGUCUUUCUUCCAAUCCUGGACUCAUAUACAAAUGCAUACAUUGACUGCAAAGCACUUGCAAAGCACAGUUGACUAUUAGGGAACUUUGUUUGUUUAUUAGGAUUUUAACGUCAUGUUUUACACUUUUGGUUAUGUAGGGUGAGGUUCUUAUUUCCUACUGGUAGGUGCCACUAAUCCCCUACAUAUGAGCACAUAUGAGCAGGAAAGCACAAGCUCUAAGUUCAUUAUUAUGCAUUGUGAAGGUAGGGUGCUCUGAUAUUUUCUGUUAAUGAUCUCUAUUUUGUAAGCCAUCCAUGUUUCAGUUAGAUUGUGAUUAUUUAAG